rnacentral:rRNA from 1 species
AGAGUUUGAUCAUGGCUCAGGACGAACGCUGGCGGCGCGCCUAACACAUGCAAGUCGAACGGGGUUAUAGGAACAGCUUGCUGGGAAUAUAACUUAGUGGCGGACGGGUGAGUAACACGUGAGCAACCUGCCUUUCAGAGGGGAAUAACGUUUGGAAACGAACGCUAAUACCGCAUAACAUUGGGAUAUGGCAUCAUGACCCAAUCAAAGAUUUAUCGCUGAAAGAUGGGCUCGCGCCCGAUUAGGUAGUUGGUGAGAUAAUAGCCCACCAAGCCGACGAUCGGUAGCCGGACUGAGAGGUUGAACGGCCACAUUGGGACUGAGACACGGCCCAGACUCCUACGGGAGGCAGCAGUGGGGGAUAUUGCACAAUGGGGGGAACCCUGAUGCAGCGACGCCGCGUGAGGGAAGACGGUUUUCGGAUUGUAAACCUCUGUCUUUAGGGACGAAACAAAUGACGGUACCUAAAGAGGAAGCCACGGCUAACUACGUGCCAGCAGCCGCGGU